rnacentral:rRNA from 1 species
GCAUCGCGCUCCAUUCAAGUCGAGCGGGCGCAGCAAUCGUCAGCGGCAGACGGGUUGAGUAACGCGGUGGGAACGUUACCUUUUGGUUCGGAACAACACAGGGAAACUUGUGCUAAUACCGGAUAAGCCCUUACGGGGAAAGAUUUAUCGCCGAAAGAUCGGCCCGCGUCUGAUUAUCUAGUUGGUGAGGUAAUGGCUCACCAAGGCGACGAUCAGUAGCUGGUCUGAGAGGAUGAUCAGCCACAUUGGGACUGAGACACGGCCCAAACUCCUACGGGAGGCAGCAGUGGGGAAUAUUGGACAAUGGGGGCAACCCUGAUCCAUUCAUGCCGUGUGAGUGAUGAAGGUCCUACGGUUGUAAAGCUCUUUUGUGCGCUAUAUUGACGUCCU